UGUUAACAGGGUGAAGAGUGCAUCUUAAUGAUGUCAGGUGUUAACAGGGUGAAGAGUGCAUCUUAAUGAUGUCAGGUGUUAACAGGGUGAAGAGUGCAUCUUAAUGAUGUCAGGUGUUAACAGGGUGAAGAGUGCAUCUUAAUGAUGUCAGGUGUUAACAGGGUGAAGAGUGCAUCUUAAUGAUGUCAGGUGUAAACAGGGUGAAUCAGAUACAACACUCAAUCAGAUACAACGAUAGACAGCUGACUCUGAUUGGGAACCAUAACCAGGCCAAACACAUAGAAAUAGAAAACAUAGAAAAACAACAUAGAAUGCCCACCCCAACUCACGCCCCGACCAACCAAAUUAGAGACAUAAAAAAAGGAACUAAGGUCAGGGCGUGACACCCAACAGUUCAGUAAUAAUCCCUAGCAGUAUAAAACGAUAAUAAUCCACAUAAUCCCAAAAGAAAGAAAUUAAGAAA